rnacentral:rRNA from 1 species
UAGGGAAUCUUCGGCAAUGGAAGGUUGUCUGACCGAGCAACGCCGCGGGAGUGUGAAAGGUUUUCGGAUCGUAAAGCUCUGUUGUAAGAGAAGAACGAGUGUGAGAGUGGAAAGUUCACACUGUGACGGUAUCUUACCAGAAAGGGACGGCUAACUACGUGCCAGCAGCCGCGGUAAUACGUAGGUCCCGAGCGUGUCCGGAUUUAUUGGGCGUAAAGCGAGCGCAGGCGGUUAGAUAAGUCUGAAGUUAAAGGCUGUGGCUUAACCAUAGUAGGCUUUGGAAACUGUUUAACUUGAGUGCAAGAGGGGAGAGUGGAAUUCCAUGUGUAGCGGUGAAAUGCGUAGAUAUAUGGAGGAACACCGGUGGCGAAAGCGGCUCUCUGGCUUGUAACUGACGCUGAGGCUCGAAAGCGUGGGGAGCAAACAGGAUUAGAUACCCUGGUAGUCCACGCUGUAAACGAUGAGUGCUAGGUGUUAGACCCUUUCCGGGGUUUAGUGCCGUAGCUAACGCAUUAAGCACUCCGCCUGGGGAGUACGACCGCAAGGUUG